GAAUGUUUUCCCAAAAGCCCCGAAUCUUUCAGCGCGUUCACGCACACCGCAGCUGAACACAGACACGCCUCCUGUCACUCACUCAGAGCAGCGGCAGGCCUCGAGACUCUCGUUCGGUCCGGUUGAAGGGUUUUUGUUAUGAUAUGAACAGCUGAUAUCACAACUUUAGCACAUUUGUCAGCUAAACAUUCAUUCAAUGUUUCCCAAUGACCCUGUGCUGCCGCCACCGUUUCAUCAUAAACCGAAAAUUUAAAACGUACAAAGCUUAAACGGUCUCUAAGUUGUAUUUUACCAACGAACUGAAAUCGAAACCGUGAUAUGGCUUUGUGCCUUUAUAAAACAGCAAAAUACAGUGAUUAAGUAUUAAAAUUUUAUUAAUAAUUGUUUGGCAUCCUAAAACACAAUGUAGACUGAGACUUUAUAUCACAACUAUAAAGAUGUUUGAGCCCUCUUUAAUGUCCAGUUACAAGUCAAUGCUGUUUCUUUGUUCAAUUUGCAUACUGUAUGGGCUUAAACUCUUAAGUUUUGAGCUCUCAAAGUGCACCAGAUUGAUGAAUUUAACCUUAAAAUGUACAAAAUUUUCUUACGGUGGGGCAUGACCCCGGACCCCCCUAGAGGAGGUACACCCAACAAACUUUUACAAAUUACAGUGCCAAACAAUUUACAUUUUCUCAACAACAAUACUACAAGAAAAGCUCCUUUCAUGUCAGUAAAGCUGUUAACAUAAAAUUAAAAUGUCUUUGGACAAAUAUUGAUUUGGGCUAAGCCCCGGAUGUUUACACUGUAUGGCUCCGCCCUGUAUACAGUAUGCAAAUUAAAAUAUGUUAAAGACAAGAGAGAGAAAGCGCUGCCGGUGUAUGGAUGCCUAUAAUGAAUACUGGCGAAAAGUGAUAUUGAACUGUUUAACAUAUUUCAAUAGAGAGAUAUGUUUACAAAAAUGAUAUUUUGAGAGCACUGUUAAGAAACCUCAAACCUGAAAGGGGCUCCAGCCCCCUUAGCCCACCCCUAGCGUCGCCCCUGGCUUACAGUAAGUGAUAACUUGUGUAUUUGAAUCACAUCACAUCCACUCCAUCUGAAAUAUCUCAACCUCUUACAAGACAACUGGAAACUUUAUAAAAUCAACAUAGUUUAACAGUACUGUAUCUGAAACAUCUAAAAUAUCUCUAAAACAGCUGCGCUCUGACUAACAGGGUCUCUCCAGUGUUCACUGAAGUCCACUUCAUUUGACAAAAUGAGUUCAUUUGAACACCCUGAAAAGUCAUCAAACAUAGUCUUGCAUGGGUGAUUUUUUAGGUUUGAUAAUAUAAAAUACCUCUGUAAAUCAAUAUAAUAUAAAUUAUUGUUAAAUUUAUACAUUUAGUAAUUACUAUAGUAACUACAUGUAAUGUGUAACAAGGACACUGUAAAUUGAAGUGUUACACACACUUUGAACAGCCGCAUAUAAACCACAUGUGGGAUUAAUAAAAAUCAAUAAUAAUGCCAAA